UGCCAGCCGCCGCGGUAAUACGAAGGGACCUAGCGUAGUUCGGAAUUACUGGGCUUAAAGAGUUCGUAGGUGGUUGAAAAAGUUAGUGGUGAAAUCCCAGAGCUUAACUCCGGAACUGCCAUCAAAACUUUUUAGCUAGAGUAUGAUAGAGGAAAGUGGAAUUUCUAGUGUAGAGGUGAAAUUCGUAGAUAUUAGAAAGAACAUCAAAAGCGAAGGCAACUUUCUGGAUCAUUACUGACACUGAGGAACGAAAGCAUGGGUAGCGAAGAGGAUUAGAUA
rnacentral:rRNA from 1 species